rnacentral:rRNA from 1 species
GACGAACGCUGGCGGCGUGCUUAACACAUGCAAGUCGUACGGUAAGGCCCUUUCGGGGGUACACGAGUGGCGAACGGGGGCGUAACACGUACGUAACCUUCCCACAACUUUGGGAUAACGCUAGGAAACUGGUGCUAAUACUGGAUAUGUGCUCCUGCUGCAUGGGGGGGGUUGGAAAGCUCCGGCGGGUUUGGAUGGACUCGCGGGCUAUCGGCUUGCUGGUGGGGUAGUGGCCUACCAAGGCGGCGUCGGGUAGCCGGACUGCGAGGGUGACCCGCCACCUUGGGUCCGAGGUACGGCCCAGAUACCUACGGGAGGGAGCAGUGGGGAAGCUUGCACAAUGGGCGCAAGCCUGGUGAAGAAACGCCGCGUGUGGGAUGACUGUCUUCGGGUUGUAGACCGAAUUUAGAAGGGACGAAGCUUUUUGUGACGGUACCUGCAGAAGAAGCACCGGCUAACUACGUG